UGCAAGUCGAACGCGAAAGAACCUUCGGGUUUCAAGUAGAGUGGCGUCCGGGUGAGUAACACGUAGGUAAUCUACCUUCGGGUGGGGAAUAACGCAGGGAAACUUGCGCUAAUACCGCAUAAUGCAGCGGCACCACAUGGUGACAGUUGUUAAAGCGGGGGAUUUUCGGACCUCGCGCCUGAAGAGGAGCCUGCGGCAGAUUAGCUAGUUGGUAAGGUAACGGCUUACCAAGGCGACGAUCUGUAGCCGGCCUGAGAGGGCGGUCGGCCACACUGACACUGACAUACGGGUCAGACUCCUACGGGAGGCAGCAGUCGGGAAUUUUGGGCAAUGGGCGAAAGCCUGACCCAGCAACGCCGCGUGAAGGAUGAGAUCCUUCGGGAUGUAAACUUCGCAAGAAUGGGAAGAAUAGACGAGUACUAACACUGCUCGUGAUGACGGUACCAUUUGUAAGCUCCGGCUAACUCCGUGCCAGCAGCCGCGGUAAUACGGGGGGAGCAAGCGUUGUUCGGAUUUACUGGGCGUAAAGGGCGCGUAGGCGGCCAGCGCAAGUCAGUUGUGAAAUCUCCGGGCUUAACUCGGAAAGGUCAACUGAUACUGCGCGGCUAGAGUGCAGAAGGGGCAACUGGAAUUCUCGGUGUAGCGGUGAAAUGCGUAGAUAUCGAGAGGAACACCUGCGGCGAA
rnacentral:rRNA from 1 species